AUACGGAGGAUCCGAGCGUUAUCCGGAUUUAUUGGGUUUAAAGGGAGCGUAGGUGGAUUGUUAAGUCAGUUGUGAAAGUUUGCGGCUCAACCGUAAAAUUGCAGUUGAAACUGGCAGUCUUGAGUACAGUAGAGGUGGGCGGAAUUCGUGGGGUAGCGGUGAAAUGCUUAGAUAUCACAAAGAACUCCGAUUGCGAAGGCAGCUCACUAGACUGUUACUGACACUGAUGCUCGAAAGUGUGGGUAUCAAACAGGAUUAGAUACCCUGGUAGUCCACACAGUAAACGAUGAAUACUCGCUGUUUGCGAUAUACAGUAAGCGGCCAAGCGAAAGCAUUAAGUAUUCCACCUGGGGAGUACGCCGGCAACGGUGAAACUCAAAUGAAUUGACGGGG
rnacentral:rRNA from 1 species